CCUAGGAAGAAACCUAGAGAGGAACCAGGCUAUGAUGGGUGGCCAGUCCUCUUCUGGCUGUGCCGGGUGGAGAUGACCCGUUUAUCUCCUUAGCAUCAGACAGUGUUCAGCCCACAUCCACCCUUUGGACCCUAUCAAUUAAGUAUGACCACCCAUAAUAAGGAGUCGGUGCAAAACCAAUUGCUUUCAGUUUGUACAACACAAUUUUAUGGUUCACAGUAUCAAAUGCUUUUAGUAGGUCAAGCAUGACAAUACCACAGAAGUUGCCCUUGUCAAUUACUUGCUUGAUAAAAUCUGUCAUUUAUAUUAAACAAGUAUCAGUAGAAUAGGAUUGUCUAAAACUGGACAGAAGGUCAUAUAAAAUGUUAUGGUCAUCAAUGUACUUUAUGAUCUGUUCAUGGAGUGCUCUUUCUAAAACCUUUAACAACAAACUCAAGAUUGACACUGGUCUGUAGUUCCCUUGUUCAACCUUGCUUCCUUUCUUGUAUAAAGGAACAACUCUUGCAUGUUUCAACUCUGGUGGUACCUUUCCAUGUUGAAUUGAAAGAUUGAUGAUGUGUGUUACAUAAGGUCCAAAAUUAUCAGCAGCAUCACUCAGGAAUCUAGCUGGGAUGUUAUCCAGUCCUGUGGCUUUCUGUUUGUCUAGAUCUUUAAGCAUCUGAAGUUGAAACCUGGGAAAACGCAAACUGUCCUUCGGAGAUGCCCUUAGCUGAAUAAUAGGUUUGUAUAUGAUGGUUUCCAAAGGUGCCAGAGCAUUCUGGGAGUUUGUCAACAAGAUUGCUGGCAAUAGUGGGGGAAAACUCAUUAAAUGAUCACUCACCUGUGCUCUGUCAAAGGUUACAGUACCAUUGAUAUUCAGUCCAAUGCUGUUUGACUUUGUUUUUGGCUUGUUGCUACUGCCUAGGUCCUUGAAAGUCUUCCAGAGGGCCCUGGGGUCGUUUUUAUUGUCCUGGGCGCUCAUUUAUCAAUGUUGCGUACGAACACGUAAACCAUGCGUGCGAUCAUUUCUAAGCAAAGUGUGGGAUUUAUCCAUUUGUACUUAUACUUGAGAAUGUGUGUAAAUUUAAGCACACCUCGGACCAUGCGUACACACAGCACAUUGUGGUAGAAAAGUCUAACUGCUUAUGAAAUACCACCCACCAAAUGGAGAAAGGAUUGACAUACUGGACCAAAUCAUAAACUAUGACGAUAAAAGAUAAUACAUUAAUAGUUUAUUCAUGUAUUUCUUCUAUAGACUCUUAAGCUACUAAUAGUUUUCUCAGGGUGCUAUCGAAUUCAUAAACAUGAAGUCAUUUAAGCCUAAUUGAAUAAUAAAGUAAAUUAAAAAGAGAGUGGAAUGUACGGUUGGAGUCAAUUUUGUUAAACCAGUUAAAUAAUAUAAAAGGCAACACUGAGGCAUUGUGACUUGUCAAAAAUGGCAAAUCUUGCAUUGCUAGAGGAUCUGGCACAAGCUGCAUUACGCAGGGAGCGGGUUUUCAAUGAGCGUGCAGAUUUUUUGCUGAGAGCGACACUUGGCUUAUUAGUAGAUUUCGUUUUCCAAGGCAUAUUUUAUUGUAUCUCUGCAACCAACUCUCCAGUAUUAGAAAGGGAGACGAAUCGCACCAAUGCCAUCCCAGUGCAUACCCAAGUCCUCUCCACCCUGGGAUUUUUGGCCACUGGAACAUUCCAAAGGGAGAUUGCGGAUCAGUCUGGCAUUUCACAACCAACCAUGAGCCGAAUAUUGCCUGCAGUCCUUCGUGGCAUUAUUUUAUCGACCCCCACAAUACAUACAGUUUCCAUACACUGCUGUGCAACAGGCCAGAGUGAAAAGGGAUUUCCAUACCGUAGCUGGAUUUCCCAAUGUCAUUGGAGCAAUUGACUGCACCCACAUCUCAAUAAAAGCACCAUAAUGGAAAGAAUUCAACUUUGUCAACAGAAAAUGUUUCCAUUCUGUCAAUGUGCAGGUCAUCUGUGAAUCACAUUUGGAUUUGUUGAAUUUAGUGGACAAAUGGCCAGGUUGGACACAUGAAUAAUUAAUUGUGCAGAACAGUUCAGUAGGCCUUAGCCUCCAGGAAGGAGCUGUUGAGGAUGGACGGCUUAUUGGAGCUACCCAUUAAAAACAUGGCUGAUGACUCCCCUCACAAACCCCUCAAACCAGCUAGUGGCCAGGUACAACCAAGCCCACGCAUGCACAAGAACAAUAGUGGAGUGCACCAUAGGCCUGCUGAAAGGGCAUUGGCUGUGCUUGUCUGGGACAGGAGGCACACUGCAAUACCAGCCUAGCAAGGUUUGUCUCUGAAAUGACAUUCCUUCAAAUGCCAUUACGUGAAUGUAAUAAAAUGUACAAUUUCCUUUUUAGGGUUGCUACAUUGUCAAGGCUUGCAGUGUGCUCCACAACAUUGCAAUCAAAAACAGUAUUCCACUGAAUGAUCCACCCAGACCCGAUGAGCCCAUGCCUGACAGGGAGUGUUUCCCACCACCCAUAGCUCUGGCACUGAGGACAAUAGUCAAUAUCGGUUUUAGGACUGCGUCAGUCCUGAAGCGCUCGCCAAAGAGGACACCGUUCUGGUAGGCCUGGGGAUGAGGGGAUCAGGCAAAUCACCCACAUCUGUCAAGAUUUCAUGUCUGAAUGUG